UUCACUUUUUAUCUUAGUUUAGUCAGAAAGAUAGUUGAUAAUGUGUGAAUUGCUGCAACUUGUGAGCCGUAGAAGGUUUUAAUCUUUGGGGCCGAGUAUCAGAAAACAUUUAGAAACCAACAUCAACAAAACACUCAACAAAGAUUUGAACAUCAUUAAAGGGAAAUCCAACUUUUGCAUGACAAUGUCUAAUUAAAGGACAUUUAUUUCCAAUGUAAAUGUGUGAUAUUCAUCCUCUGGAGCUUUCUCUUCACAUCGUCUUCCACCUGGACUGGUUUGGUCGGGAGCAUGUGCAACAAACAUUUGAAAAACUGCACUUUAACAUCAAUAAAUGACACUGAAGUUUAAUCUCUACAUAAAUGAGACUGAGUCUGGAUGUGCUGCUCUGUCAUUAACUCCUAAGUUUAGGGAAAGUUCAAACAAAAGAGGACAGUUCAGAGAAGACUUGAGAAUGAGCUUAUUCUGAACAAACAUCUCAGACUUUCUGAGCUUCAGCACCUACAGCAAGAUAUUUUAACAACAAGCAACUCAAGAGAUCCAGAAGUUGGAGAGAGUUAGCUUUAGCUGAGCCAAAGAACAUGUGGGACGCUAACCUAGCAAACAUUUCAGACUUUUCUCUGUGAAUUCUGAGAAAUAAUUCCCUAUUUAUUGACAGAGCUACACAUCUUAACUCAGUCUCAUUAAAACAGACUCUAAUUCAGUGUCAUCCAUUCAUAUUAAAGUGCAGUUACCCAAAAUGUUUGUUGCAUGAGCUCCAACAAAACCUGUCCAGGUAGAAGGCCACUUUGACAAACAGGAAGUGGAAGAUUCCAAGCAGAUUUAUAGAAGGGGGAACCGGACUGUACUAAGUGUGGUGGAGAAUAGAGGGGUGUUUUGUGGGUUUUUAAGGCUGAUAAUGAUUAUUAGUGAAACAUUUGGAGUAUAUUCAUUUGCAGUAAAUGAAAGUAUUUAUAAUGUUGGAGUUAAACUUCGAAGAACACAAACUCUAACAGAAAACUUUGUUGAUACGUUUUUGUUUUGUUUACAGAUGUUAAGUUAAAGGAGUUUUAUUCGUGACGUAUAACCAAUCAAAUCACUCCAGAAGAUAGAACGACCACAGGCCUCCGUUGACUCGUCCCGCCUGCCGUCUCUGGAGCUGAAGCUGGAUUGGAACAGACCAAAGUACAGUCCAAUCAUGAUGCCAGCUGCCUCUCAAAAGGUUCCUUCAUCUGGCAGCACUUCUUCUGAGGGGAAGCUGAGCUGGCCCGGCAGAACUUUGGAGGUGUGUUACAGUGGUUGGUGGAUCUGUGGGGAGAUAGAGAGGGACCUUUGAAUUGUUCAGAAAGGAAAACAGGGAACCCAUUGGUAGUUUUAGUUUAGGGUGCUACUGCGGUGUGUUUUUGGGUUUAAAGAGGUGAAGAGGAAGAGUUUUUUUUCGUAUUGAUUAUCUUUUACUUUGUUCCUGGUUGGAAUGCCCAUCAAUGUCAACGUGAAGUUCACUUUCAGUUCUGUUUUAUUUAUUUUUAUUUUCAUAACACCCAUUUGCUUUUAAGCCCCUCACAUGUUGUGUUGUUGUAAACUUACUCUUUCAAUUAAAUACUCGUCUAACCCUCUGGAAA